GGAGAGGUGCAAGAGUGGUUUAAUUGGCAGUCCUGGAAAGACUGUGUACCCUUACCGGUACCGUGGGUUCGAAUCCCACCCUCUCCG
rnacentral:tRNA from 1 species